GAUGAACGCUGGCGGCGUGCCUAAUACAUGCAAGUCGAGCGAACAGACGAGGAGCUUGCUCCUUCGACGUUAGCGGCGGACGGGUGAGUAACACGUAGGUAACCUACCUAUAAGACUGGGAUAACUUCGGGAAACCGGAGCUAAUACCGGAUAAUAUUUCGAACCGCAUGGUUCGAUAGUGAAAGAUGGCUUUGCCAUCACUUAUAGAUGGACCUGCGCCGUAUUAGCUAGUUGGUAAGGUAACGGCUUACCAAGGCAACGAUACGUAGCCGACCUGAGAGGGUGAUCGGCCACACUGGAACUGAGACACGGUCCAGACUCCUACGGGAGGCAGCAGUAGGGAAUCUUCCGCAAUGGGCGAAAGCCUGACGGAGCAACGCCGCGUGAGUGAUGAAGGUCUUCGGAUCGUAAAACUCUGUUAUUAGGGAAGAACAAACGUGUAAGUAACUGUGCACGUCUUGACGGUACCUAAUCAGAAAGCCACGGCUAACUACGUG
rnacentral:rRNA from 1 species